rnacentral:rRNA from 1 species
UACGUAGGGUGCGAGCGUUGUCCGGAAUUAUUGGGCGUAAAGAGCUUGUAGGCGGUUUGUCGCGUCUGCUGUGAAAAUCCGGGGCUCAACCCCGGACUUGCAGUGGGUACGGGCAGACUAGAGUGUGGUAGGGGAGGACUGGAAUUCCUGGUGUAGCGGUGAAAUGCGCAGAUAUCAGGAGGAACACCGAUGGCGAAGGCAGGUCUCUGGGCAGUAACUGACGCUGAGGAGCGAAAGCAUGGGUAGCGAACAGGAUUAGAUACCCGGGUA